UGGGUGAUCUGCCCUGCACUUUGGGAUAAGCCUGGGAAACUGGGUCUAAUACCGAAUAUGACCACGCGCUUCAUGGUGUGUGGUGGAAAGCUUUUGCGGUGUGGGAUGGGCCCGCGGCCUAUCAGCUUGUUGGUGGGGUAAUGGCCUACCAAGGCGACGACGGGUAGCCGGCCUGAGAGGGUGACCGGCCACACUGGGACUGAGAUACGGCCCAGACUCCUACGGGAGGCAGCAGUGGGGAAUAUUGCACAAUGGGCGCAAGCCUGAUGCAGCGACGCCGCGUGAGGGAUGACGGCCUUCGGGUUGUAAACCUCUUUCAAUAGGGACGAAGCGCAAGUGACGGUACCUAUAGAAGAAGGACCGGCCAACUACGUGCCAGCAGCCGCGGUAAUACGUAGGGUCCGAGCGUUGUCCGGAAUUACUGGGCGUAAAGAGCUCGUAGGUGGUUUGUCGCGUUGUUCGUGAAAACUCACAGCUUAACUGUGGGCGUGCGGGCGAUACGGGCAGACUAGAGUACUGCAGGGGAGACUGGAAUUCCUGGUGUAGCGGUGGAAUGCGCAGAUAUCAGGAGGAACACCGGUGGCGAAGGCGGGUCUCUGGGCAGUAACUGACGCUGAGGAGCGAAAGCGUGGGGAGCGAACAGGAUUAGAUACCCUGGUAGUCCACGCCGUAAACGGUGGGUACUAGGUGUGGGUUUCCUUCCUUGGGAUCCGUGCCGUAGCUAACGCAUUAAGUACCCCGCCUGGGGAGUACGGCCGCAAGGCUAAAACUCAAAGGAAUUGACGGGGGCCCGCACAAGCGGCGGAGCAUGUGGAUUAAUUCGAUGCAACGCGAAGAACCUUACCUGGGUUUGACAUGCACAGGACGACUGCAGAGAUGU
rnacentral:rRNA from 1 species